rnacentral:rRNA from 1 species
AUGAAUCCCGACAAGUUCACGCACAAGACCAAUGAGGCGCUCGCGGCGGCGCACGAGAUGGCGUCCGAGGCCGGCCACGCGCAGCUCACGCCGCUGCACCUCGCCGCGGCGCUCGCGGCGGACAGGUCGGGCAUCCUCCGCCAGGCCAUCGCCCACGCGUCCGGCGGCAACGACGCCGCGGCCGAUUCGUUCGAGCGCGUCGCGUCCGCCGCGCUCAAGCGGCUGCCCUCGCAGUCCCCGCCGCCCGACACCGUCCCGGCCUCCACCUCGCUGGUCAAGGCCGUCCGCCGCGCGCAGUCGGCGCAGAAGUCGCGCGGCGACUCGCACCUCGCCGUCGACCAGCUGCUCAUGGGCCUCCUCGAGGACGCGCAGAUCUCCGACGCGCUCAAGGAGGCCGGUAUCUCCGCCGCGCGGGUGAAGGCCGAGGUGGAGAAGCUCCGGGGAGGCGACAACCGGCGCGUGGAGUCGGCGUCGGGGGACACCAACUUCCAGGCCCUCAAGACGUACGGCCGCGACCUGGUGGAGGUGGCCGGCAAGCUGGACCCGGUCAUCGGCCGCGACGAGGAGAUCCGGCGCGUGGUGCGGAUCCUGUCGCGGCGCACCAAGAACAACCCCGUCCUCAUCGGCGAGCCCGGCGUGGGCAAGACCGCCGUCGUGGAGGGGCUCGCGCAGCGCGUCGUGCGCGGCGACGUCCCCAGCAACCUCCUGGACGUGCGCCUGGUGGCGCUGGACAUGGGCGCGCUCGUGGCCGGCGCCAAGUACCGCGGCGAGUUCGAGGAGCGGCUCAAGGCCGUGCUCAAGGAGGUGGAGGAGGCCGAGGGGAAGGUGAUCCUGUUCAUCGACGAGAUACACCUGGUGCUCGGCGCCGGGCGGACGGAGGGGUCCAUGGACGCCGCCAACCUGUUCAAGCCGAUGCUGGCGAGGGGGCAGCUCAGGUGCAUCGGCGCCACGACCCUCGAGGAGUACAGGAAGUACGUGGAGAAGGACGCGGCGUUCGAGAGGCGGUUCCAGCAGGUGUUCGUGGCGGAGCCCAGCGUCCCCGACACCGUCAGCAUACUGAGAGGGCUCAAGGAGAAGUACGAGGGCCACCAUGGUGUGAGGAUCCAGGACCGCGCGCUCGUCAUUGCCGCGCAGCUCUCGUCGAGGUACAUCACGGGUCGUCAUUUGCCUGAUAAAGCAAUCGAUUUGGUCGACGAGGCCUGUGCAAAUGUGAGGGUGCAGCUUGACAGCCAGCCUGAAGAGAUUGACAACCUCGAGAGGAAGAGAAUCCAGUUGGAAGUCGAGCUCCAUGCCCUCGAGAAGGAGAAGGACAAGGCUAGCAAAGCUCGGUUAGUUGAUGUGAGGAAAGAGUUGGACGAUCUGCGAGACAAGCUGCAGCCGCUGCAGAUGAAGUACCGCAAGGAGAAAGAGAGGAUCGACGAGAUCAGGAGCCUGAAGCAGCGCCGCGAAGAGCUGCAGUUCACUCUGCAGGAGGCCGAGCGCCGGAUGGACUUGGCCCGCGUGGCUGAUCUCAGAUACGGUGCUCUGCAGGAGGUUGACGCUGCCAUUGCUAAGCUGGAGGGUGAGACCGGCGAGAACUUGAUGUUAACAGAGACUGUCGGCCCGGACCAGAUUGCCGAGGUGGUGAGCCGCUGGACUGGCAUUCCUGUCACCAGGCUCGGGCAGAAUGAGAAGGCGAGGCUGAUCGGGCUUGCUGACAGACUGCAUCAGAGGGUGGUUGGACAGUAUGAGGCCGUCAAUGCGGUCGGAGAGGCUGUUUUGCGGUCGAGGGCUGGCCUUGGGCGGCCACAGCAGCCUACUGGUUCAUUCCUCUUCCUCGGACCGACCGGUGUGGGUAAAACCGAGCUCGCAAAGGCUCUAGCUGAGCAGCUGUUUGAUGAUGAGAACCUGCUCGUCCGCAUCGACAUGUCUGAAUACAUGGAGCAGCAUUCGGUUGCCCGGCUAAUCGGAGCCCCACCUGGUUACGUUGGUCAUGAGGAAGGAGGGCAGCUGACGGAGCAAGUGAGGAGGAGGCCAUACAGUGUCAUCCUCUUCGACGAGGUUGAGAAGGCGCAUGUGGCGGUAUUCAACACUCUGCUCCAGGUCCUGGACGACGGGCGGUUGACCGACGGGCAAGGCAGGACGGUGGACUUCAGGAACACCGUGAUCAUCAUGACCUCGAACCUUGGCGCGGAGCACCUGCUCGCCGGAAUGGUGGGCAACUCGAUGAAGGUUGCUCGCGAUCUCGUCAUGCAGGAGGUGAGGAGGCAUUUCCGGCCGGAGCUGCUGAACCGUCUGGACGAGAUCGUCAUCUUCGACCCUCUGUCGCACGAGCAGCUGCGGAAGGUCGCCCGGCUUCAGAUGAAAGAUGUGGCAGUCCGUCUUGCCGAGAGGGGCGUCGCUCUGGCCGUCACCGACGCCGCCCUGGACGUCAUCCUCUCACUCUCUUACGAUCCGGUGUAUGGCGCCAGGCCAAUCAGGAGAUGGAUCGAGAAGAGGAUAGUGACGGAGCUGUCCAAGAUGUUGAUCCGCGAGGAGAUCGACGAGAAUUCCACGGUGUACAUCGACGCCGCGCCCAGCAAGGACGAGCUGACCUAUGGCGUCGACAAGCACGGGGGGCUGGUGAACGCGCGCACGGGCCACAAGUCCGAUAUCCUCAUCCAGGUCCCUAACGGAGCUGUCGGGGGCGAUGCGGCGCACGCCGUGAAGAAGAUGAAGAUCAUGCAGGACGGCGGAGAUGUGGACGACAUGGAGGAAGAGUAG